CAUCUGCAGAGCUCCCCCGCUUUUCCCGUGCGCACAUGGAACAUUCUCCCACACAGACUGUGUUGUAGGCAGAAUUAUAAGAUGACUCUUAUGAUUCUCAUCUUUGUAUAAUCUCCUCCCAGAGUUUGGGUGAAACAUGUAACUAUCAUAAAACAUCACUCACAGAAUUACGAUGUUAUAUGGCAAAGGGACGUUUGAAGAUACAGUUAGUGUUACUAAUAAGUUGAUUCUGGGUUAAUCAAAAGGAAAUUAAACGAGCAACCCAACCAAUCACACAGUCUGGGUCUGGAGGGCAGAGACAGGGAAUCAGAGAUUCAAAGCAGCAGAGAUAUUCUUUUGCAGGCCAGGAAGGGGCAGUCGCCACGUCUUGCAGAGAGCCUUGCGGCAGCGAAUGCUGAAUUAGGGGGCCCCCGGGGGACGCCAGUAGGAAAACGAUCCCUACCAACACCCUGAAUGAGUUAGGAGGAGGACCCCACGUCGAAGGUGAUACCGCCUCGCCGCUGCCGUUUUACAUUCUCCUGGGAUCACAGUGGCAAAUCAAAUGAGAUGCCCAUUCUGGUGGUGCCUCUUAACACAGUGUCAACCGGGACCUAGGUGAGGGGCAUCCCACUUGGGAGCCUACUUCAGCCUUGGCAGAACUGUGCUUCCAUGGUUCCAGUGGCUGCUGACCAUUUACAUGACAAAGGAGGGGCAGCGGCGCGUUUGCCUGUUUUGAGUAUGUACGAUGCAUCCCGCCCUUCAUCUAUUCUGGUGAAUUCUAAAUUCUCAGGAGCCGUUUUACCAGAUGCAGGUGUAACUGGUGUAAAAUUGAUCCGGUUUAGUUACCCAGGUUCCUUUGGUCGGAGCGCCACCUGCUGGUCAGAGGGGGAACACUCUGCUUUUGCUAAGCAGGAACACUGAAAAUGAGUUUUUAGCUGACCUGCCACUUUGCUGAAGUUCCUUACUCGACCAUUUUGCCAGCUCUCUUAUUUCCAUCUACAUGGGAAAGUUUAUCAGUAACUACUUUAAGUCUGUGUUACUUCAAACCAGAGUGGCUCAGUAACCAGCUCAGUAUCCCCUUUUUCAGAACUAUUCUUUUAAUUUGUAAGUAAAUCCUUAGCAACAUUUUUAGUUAAAGAUGAGGCUGUGUUUUCAAUGCACGGCACUUCUGAUGCCAAAUCCUCUAACGGUGGCAGCUAGGGUUCAAUUCUAAAGACUCAGAAUCCAAUAUAUCAAUGUUGGCAACUUUAGGGUCUAUUACAGGGAUAGGACCCAAUACAGCAACAGCAUUGAAGUAAGGCUGUGCAUUCCAGCUAAAGAGUGCCUCACAGCAAGGGGUCCAGAUGCCAGGCUUGAGUUACAGUUGCCCUCCCUUUCUCUCUGUGAUGUAUGUUCUGUUUUUUAUAGGGAACCCCAACCCUAAUGGCAGCUGGGCCUUCUAAUAGCUGGCUUGUCAUAUGAGCAUAUUUCUUGUUAGGUAACCAGCCCCAUGAAAGGCCAUUCUCUAGCCUCACAGAAGCCAUGUGCAAAUCACCAGCCACACUGUUUGCAGUGAAGGAUGCUGAUGCUGGGGAGGGAACACUUUCCUCUACCCUUCCAGGUUCUUCUAGCUAGUCUAAGAAUUAAAUCAACCUGAGAGCACAGGAGAAAAAGACCAGUUUAAUUAUACGUGCACGGAAACCCAAUAAUGAAAUUGAGACUGAAAGAAAUGAUGAAGGCAGGCAGUUUUUAUAUUUUUUAGAUAAAGAGACAACACAUCUGUGAGGAAUUGACAGGACAAAGAAAAUUUAUGAUUGUGAGCUUUAAUUAACAAGGAAUUCUAAACAAUUUGGGUUGGGGUAGUAAAUUUACAAAGCAACAGGUGUAGUUUGUAGAGCCUUCUCAGCUCUGAAUUCCCCCCGUCUGGUGAUAAAGAUGCCUCCUGACCUCCUGGCACAGGGAGAAGAUCUUUCACUGGGAGAUUGAUUUCCUGCUUUCUGGAGCCAAAGGAGGGCCCAAGCAUUCUUGCACUGGCUAUUUCUAAAGUCACUUUUAACUCAAAAUAAUCAGUAUGCCAAAAUGGCACAUUUGGGGGCAACUUGUCCUUGGCCCCUGCACUGUCAAGCUGGUGCAAACCACCCAGAAACUCCUAACACCCGGGGUCACCAAGCAACACUACGAAUGUCUGGACUAAGCGUCAGUGCCAUGUGGGUGCAGCAGAGCAGCUCAGGCCAGUUUCAGGCUUGCUGAGAUGAGCCCCGGCAACAUAGGCAUGGGAAGUCCAUGGAAAUCCGAAAGUAGCGCAGAGGAAUUCUACUCCGAAAUUUCAUAUCCUCAGGGGAGUUCAGAUUAAAUCAGAUCUCUCUCCAUAGUUUUCUUGGCUUGGAAAUUCUCCCCGUUGUCUCCUUGAAAUAACCAACCUGUAUGAAUUUAUACUUUUCUCUCAUCUAAAGAGCAAAGAACCUCCAGGUCUAUGAAAGUCAUGUCAUCAUCCUUGCCCUGCAGACCAGGAGGCUCUGACUGGCUUGGCUUGGUGCUGCAACUCCCCUCUCCCCUCCUAGACUCCAAAGAAAUAUCCUAAUGACUGAUUUCCUAACAUUACUCAUUUUUAACAGAGAAGAGUGGUGGGGAUAAAAAGGAAAUUAUUCUGUUAGGUCCUAUCAGAAAGAGGAUGAAAAUCCCCCCUGAGAUAUCAAAGUAUCAAAUCUUCCUAUAGGAUCAAUGGAGGGACAGUCACCUCAGGCUAAUACUAUUUAGAUAAUAGAAAUACAAAUUUAGAAAGUAAUUCAGAAAAUACAAGUCCAGAAACACUUACAAAAAUAAGACACUUUGUGUCAGGUCUGAAGAUGGCCCUCAGCUGUGAGGUUAGCGGGAGCGACCCUGUUCCUGCUACAGUGGCUCUGACCGCGUUCAUUCCCAGGCUGCCUUUCAUCUGGAAGAGAUGGUCUAAGAAAGAAUGCCGCCGAAGCACUGGAUUCUGUCCUCGCGAGUGAACACCAGGCACAAGGUUCAGAUGAUAGAAGUGGGAAAGCAGGAAUAGACAGAGUUCCAGAUAUGAAGAACUGAAACUGGAUGAAUCCACUCAGCCUGGUGAGCCUGCACCUAUACUUUCACCUAUUCCAGGUUCAUCAUAUCCCCAAAGCACUGAGGCCGAACAGUUUUCCCCAAGAAAUAAAAUCCCAGAUGAAGUAACAGGUUUUUGAGAGAGAAGACUGGAAGGAAUAUUUGCAGAAUAUUACUGUGGAUAAAAUGAAAGUUCCUGUAUCCAGGAUUCUCACCUGGACCUGGUCAACUAGCUCACUACACACAUGUUAAUACUUGUUGUUAUUGA